AUGACUCUCCCAUCGCUGUGCUCCUACGGUGAACUUUUCUUCGGAGCCGGGACGCGGCUCACCGUCCUAGAUCCGCUGUUUUUCGGAGCGGGCACCCGCCUCUCCGUGCUGGGUAAGAAGGGGCUGGGGUCGGGGCCGGGGUCGGGGCCUGGGCUGGGUGGUCGGACCCGGGGUUGGGGGGCCGCUGUCCCGGGCCGGGAGAUUUUGGUGGAGGCCGCGUCUCUGUGCUCCUCAUACGAGCGGCACUUCGGACCCGGGACCCGCCUGACGGUCAUCGAUGACUUGCAAAAGGUGAAGCUCCCAAAGGUGACUCUUUUUGACCCAUCCGAGGAGGAGAUCAAUGAGUUGGGGAAGGCCACCUUGGUCUGCCUGGCCACGGGCUUCUUCCCCGACCUCGUGGAGAUUAGCUGGUGGGUGGACGGCCAGGAGACGAAGGAGGGGGUCAGCACGGAUGCCCAGCCCUUGAACUACACCGAAACCAAGUCUUCGAACAGCACUUAUGCCCUGAGCAGUCGCCUCCGCGUCUCAGCGGGGUUCUGGCAGAACCCCUGGCGCCGCUUCCGCUGCCAGGUCCACUUCUAUGGGCUCAGUGACAGUGAUACAUGGACUGACAGCUCCCGGCCUAAACCUGUCACUCAGAACAUCAGCGUUGAGACCUGGGGAAAAGCAGACUGUGGAAUCACCGCAGCAUCCUACCAGAAGAGCGUCCAGUCAGCCACCUUCCUCUAUGAGAUCCUCUUGGGGAAGGCCUUGGUCUACGCGGUGCUGGUCAGCACCCUGGUGUGGAGGGCCAAGGCCAAAAAACAUGUUUUGUAAGGUGAUCGCAGCACCUGGUUCUCUCCCUUGGCAAUGGAAGAAGAAGGAGAGUCCUGGACAAUCCCUCCAGAACCAAGCUCUAAUUCCCCUCCCCCAAACUCCUUUUCCCCAAAUCCCAGCUAUUAUCCCACCCUCAACCCAGACCCGUCUUCCAGCAGGGUCCAGCCAUUCACCUGAUCAUCUGUCCUCUUGCCUAUCUGUCUGUCUGCCUGCCGGUCCAUCUGUCCGCCUGUUUGUCCAUCAGGAGGGGAUGAAUUCUGACACAAAUAAAGAGGUCUCGGCUGCCUCA